GUGGGGAAUAUUGGACAAUGGGGGGAACCCUGAUCCAGCCAUGCCGCGUGUGUGAAGAAGGCCUUUUGGUUGUAAAGCACUUUAAGCGAGGAGGAGGCUACCGAGAUUAAUACUCUUGGAUAGUGGACGUUACUCGCAGAAUAAGCACCGGCUAACUCUGUGCCAGCAGCCGCGGUAAUACAGAGGGUGCAAGCGUUAAUCGGAUUUACUGGGCGUAAAGCGCGCGUAGGUGGCCAAUUAAGUCAAAUGUGAAAUCCCCGAGCUUAACUUGGGAAUUGCAUUCGAUACUGGUUGGCUAGAGUAUGGGAGAGGAUGGUAGAAUUCCAGGUGUAGCGGUGAAAUGCGUAGAGAUCUGGAGGAAUACCGAUGGCGAAGGCAGCCAUCUGGCCUAAUACUGACACUGAGGCGCGAAAGCCAGGGGAGCGAACGGGAUUAGAUACCCCGGUAGUCC
rnacentral:rRNA from 1 species